UACAGAGGUCCCAAGCGUUGUUCGGAUUCACUGGGCGUAAAGGGUGCGUAGGUGGCGAGGCAAGUCGGACGUGAAAGCUCGGAGCUCAACUCCGAAAUGGCGUUGGAAACUGCUUUGCUCGAGGAUUGGAGGGGGGACUGGAAUACUUGGUGUAGCAGUGAAAUGCGUAGAUAUCAAGUGGAACACCAGUGGCGAAGGCGAGUCCCUGGACAAUUCCUGACACUGAGGCACGAAAGCUAGGGGAGCAAACAGG
rnacentral:rRNA from 1 species